GCAUUUUGGCGGGAGACGCAAUUAUUACCUCGGGAGAUGGAACGGUGCCUGAGUAAUCAUUGCAUUGAAUGUACCUGGACCCCUGGUGCCCCCUAUAUAUAUGGGGUCCUCCCUCUCACUAGUACUUUUCUGCUAUUGUUGUCAAGCUAUCGCUCUCGCAUUUAAUUCCUCCUCGCCCUAUUCGUGAUCGCCCAGCGUCUUCUACUUUCAGUAAGUACUCUUCUCCUUCUCGUUCUCGUAGUUUAUGUCCCGUAAUUCUGACGUAACUAGAUCGGGCGACCUAGAUUCGUUACCUUCGUGGAUAUCCGACCAUUUAGGAGAAGGCU
rnacentral:lncRNA from 1 species